rnacentral:lncRNA from 1 species
CACGGACUGUAACAAAGCACUGAUUUUUACUAACUCCUUAUCUUCUGCUUGUACAAAUAGGUGCUAUGAGUAAGGAGAUGCUUUUAACCUUUCAGAGCUCUAUCCUGCAGGUGAAUCCUUUAAGACUCAAGUGCCUGAUGUUUUAGGUACCAGCUGUCAGACAGCAACCCAGAGAUGCUUGUCACUUUUUAUGGAUGCACAGCUGCAUGAUGACACUGUGCUACACAACCAUACCAGGUUUUGCAGAUGAUCAUCUGGAUAUGGAAUCGCUUUAUGAAGGCACGAACCUGUACUAUGUGUAAAGCUGCAAGUUAUUUUGCUCUUUGGAUAGUAAUUUACUAGUACUGCUAUGUGGGAAAACAGGAAGAGGAUGACAAAGACAGGGCUUGCAAGGAGCUCAUCUUUGAUGCAUUACACUCAGUCUGCAAGGAAAACAUUUUUCUUCUCUUCCCCUUCAAAACUUGUUUCAGCCUGAAGCAGCUCUUUGCUUGAAAGUCAGAAACUUUCCAUUGGGAGCUACUGGAUAACCCUCAUGCUGUGCAGUGGUCAAGGUGAAACUUCAUGAAAGGUGCUGGUGCACACAGUGGGACUUCUGACCAACAAGAGUCAGCAGCUGCAAGCACAGGCAAAGGUCUCUAGCUGGCAGCCAUUACAUAAAUAAAUAUGGCACUGAAGUUUCUCCUCCA